AGUUCGAUUCUGGCUCAGAUUGAACGCUGGCGGGAUGCUCUACACAUGCAAGUCGAACGGCAGCAUGGACUUCGGUCUGGUGGCGAGUGGCGAACGGGUGAGUAAUGUAUCGGACAAACGUGCCUAGUAGCGGGGGAUAAUCACGAAAGCGUAGCUAAUACCGCAUACGCCCUUCGGGGAAAGCGGGGACCUUCGGGCCUCGCACUAUUAGAGCGGCCGAUAUCGGAUUAGCUAGUUGGUGGGGUAACGGCUCACCACAAGUGACGAUCCGUAGCUGGUUUGAGAGGACGACCAGCCACACUGGGACUGAGACACGGCCUAGACUCCUACGGGAGGCAGCAGUGGGGAAUUUUGGACAAUGGGGGAAACCCUGAUCCAGCCAUCCCGCGUGCGAUGAAGGCCUUCGGGUUGUAAAGCACUUUUGGCAGGAAAGAAACGGCAUGGGAUAUUACCCCCGUGCAACUGACGGUACCUGCAGAAUAAGCACCGGCUAACUACGUGCCAGCAGCCGCGGUAAUACGUAGGGUGCAAGCGUUAAUCGGAAUUACUGGGCGUAAAGCGUGUGCGCAGGCGGUUCGGAAAGAAAAGAUGUGAAAUCCCAGUCAACUUUGAACUGCAUUUUUAACUACUGAGCUAGAGUGUGUCGAGGGAGGUGGAAUUCCGCGUGUAGCAGUGAAAUGCGUAGAUAUGCGGAGGAACACCGAUGGCGAAGGCAGCCUCCUGGGAUAACACUGACGCCUGAUGCACGAAAGCGUGGGGAGCAAACAGGAUUAGAUACCCUGGUAGUCCACGCCCUAAACGAUGUCAACUAGCUGUUGGGGCCUUCGGGCCUUGGUAGCGCAGCUAACGGGUGAAGUUGACCGCCUGGGGAGUACGGUCGCAAGAUUAAAACUCAAAGGAAUUGACGGGGACCCGGCACAAGCGGUGGAUGAUGUGGAUUAAUUCGAUGCAACGCGAAAACCUUACCUACCCUUGACAUGUCUGGAAUCCCGAAGAGAUUUGGGAGUGCUCGCAAGAGAACCGGAACACAGGUGCUGUAUGGCUGUCGUCAGCUCGUGUCGUGAGAUGCUGGGUUGGUCCCGCAACGAGCGCAACCCUUGUCAUUAGUUGCUACGAAAGGGCACUCUAAUGAGACUGCCGGUGACAAACAGGAGGAAGGUGGGGAUGACGUCAAGUCCUCAUGGCCCUUAUGGGUAGGGCUUCGACGUCAUACAAUGGUCGGGACAGAGGUCGCCAACCCGCGAGGGGGAGCCAAUCCCAGAAACCCGAUCGUAGUCCGAUCGCAGUAGUCUGCAACUCGACUGCGUGAAGUCGGAAUCGCUAGUAAUCGCGGAUCAGCAUGUCGCGGUGAAUACGUUCCCGGGUCUUGUACACACCGCCCGUCACACCAUGGGAGUGGGUUUUACCAGAAGUAGUUAGCCUAACCGUAAGGAGGGCGAUUACCACGGUAGGAUUCAUGACUGGGGUGAAGUCGUAACAAGGUAG
rnacentral:rRNA from 1 species